rnacentral:lncRNA from 1 species
CUUGCGUUUGCACUCCCUUCUGGCGGCUCUCCUCUUGCAAAAGCCAAAGUUCGGCUUUUAUAUUGUAACACCCUCCAAAAUCCUCAAAUCAAAAGGAUUUAAAACAAGCCAAGCACAACCGACUUUGAGCCCAUGCACGUGGAGCCCACUUGGAAUUUUCAUUCUUUUUGUAAUGCCAUGCAAUUGCUUCUCACGUGCAGGCCACUUUAGCUUUAAAUUUCUUCUUUGUUUGCACCAGCAUGGAAAAUUCAAUUUAUUGGCUUCUUUUUUGGAUUGAAUUUCAUAUACAUUUGCUUAACUGCUUUUACAAAUUGACUUGAUCUUCAAUGUUGUUCAGUUAUUAUUCUUUAUGCACUUUUUAUCCAUAAUCUCCAAUUAAUUCCCUAUUCAAUAAAAUAAUUCAACUAAUUAAAAAUAACAAAUAAAUAUAACUAGUAAUUAUUUAAUUAAGGGUAAAAUAUGUAUAUAUUAUAUGCUCAUCAAAUACCCCCAAACUUAGAUUUUGCUAGUCCUCG